CAAUGCAGAGAUGAAGGACAUCAUACCACAAGACUAUUUGUGUGUGUAUAAGCCUGAUCAACAAGUAAAAAGAGUCAGAUCUCUCAAUUGCCAUGAUGACCAAGAUAUUCAACGGGGAAAUGUGGAAAGCUGCCAUAUUCCCAGUCAUUACUUUUCCGAAUCAUCUGUGCAGCAGUAGCAGCAGCACCGAGGAAUCCUACUUUCCUGAGUCCGACACCGAGAGGGCCAUCAAGGACUUCCCUGACUGGCAACAGACUGGAGUAGAGGCUGUAGCAGAGACAGCCUUUUU